GGCUCUGUGGUGAAAUUCAUAGUGAGUUGCAAGCUCAUUGAUGUGCAUUAGUUAUGUACCGGAGUCU
rnacentral:tRNA from 1 species